UUAAUACCCCCUCUCUCUGAAAAUACUUGUCGAAGAAAUGGAUAAAAAUAGAUGUAUCUAGAACUAAAAUACAUCUGGAUACAUUCAUUUCUCCGACAAGUAUUUCCAGAUGGAGGGAGUAUCUU
rfam:Triticum aestivum genome assembly, contig: Triticum_aestivum_CS42_TGACv1_scaffold_224141_3B